rnacentral:rRNA from 1 species
AACGAACGCUGGCGGCAGGCCUAACACAUGCAAGUCGAGCGAGGACUUCGGUUCUAGCGGCGGACGGGUGAGUAACGCGUGGGAAUGUGCCCUUCUCUACGGAAUAUCCCUGGGAAACUGGGAGUAAUACCGUAUACGCCCUUUUGGGGAAAGAUUUAUCGGAGAAGGAUCAGCCCGCGUUGGAUUAGGUAGUUGGUGGGGUAAUGGCCUACCAAGCCGACGAUCCAUAGCUGGUUUGAGAGGAUGAUCAGCCACACUGGGACUGAGACACGGCCCAGACUCCUACGGGAGGAAGCAGUGGGGAAUCUUAGACAAUGGGGGCAACCCUGAUCUAGCCAUGCCGCGUGAGUGAUGAAGGCCUUAGGGUUGUAAAGCUCUUUCAGCUGGGAAGAUAAUGACGGUACCAGCAGAAGAAGCCCCGGCUAACUCCGUG